rnacentral:tRNA from 1 species
GCCGGGAUACCUCAUUUGGUAGAGGGGGGAACUGAAAACCCUCAAGCCUCCAGUUCAAAU